GGAAUGCCGAACGUCACAAAUUACGUCAUCAUGCGGAUUAGAAACAGACUAGAAAGAGCAAAAUAUUUUCAACUGCAUAUUUGCUGUAUUUGCAUGGCACUCCAUUAUACCACACUGAUGGCUUCUCCAAGAUUAUGAAUAUGAUACAUGUAAACAGUGAGCUUUCGCUGAUGGACACAAAUUGUUCAGAAAAAAUCCAGCUACCACAUUAAUCACAGCCAUAGAUUUCUGGCGUGCCUUCAGUAGGAACAUAGAUGCAAUGAUGAAACAUUAUCUCCAGACAUAUGGGUGGCCCUUGAACAGAGAAUUGUCAAAAAUUGAAGCAUUCAAUAAAGAAGAUUAAGAAACAGAA